rnacentral:rRNA from 1 species
GAGUGAAGCGGGAAAAGCUCAAAUUUGAAAUCUGGCAGUCUAUUUUUUCUUCUUUGGCUGUCCGAAUUGUAAUCUAGAGAAGUGCUUACCUGCGCUGGACCAUGUAUAAGUCUCCUGGAAUGGAGCGUCGCAGAGGGUGAGAAUCCCGUCUUUGACAUGGACUGCCAGUGUGUUGUGGUGUGCUCUCAAAGAGUCGAGUUGUUUGGGAAUGCAGCUCUAAAUGGGUGGUAAACUCCAUCUAAAGCUAAAUAUUGGCGAGAGACCGAUAGCGAACAAGUACCGUGAGGGAAAGAUGAAAAGGACUUUGGAAAGAGAGUUAAACAGUAUGUGAAAUUGUUGAAAGGGAAACGCUUGAAGUCAGUUGUGUCGGUUAGGGAUCAACCUAGCUUUUUUUGCUGGGUGAAUUUCCUAGUCUGACAGGCCAACAUCAGUCUUGACUGCUGGAAAAGAGCAGGGGGAAUGUGGCACCUUUGGGUGUGUUAUAGCCUUUUGUCAUAUGUGGCAGUUGGGACUGAGGGAUGCAGCGUGCCGCGAGGCUGGGUUUCGACCACGUUCACGCUUAGGAUGUUGGCUUUUAAUGGCUUCAAUCGACCCGUCUUGAAACACGGACCAAGGAGUCUAACAUGCCUGCGAGUGUUUGGGUGGAAAACCCUUGCGCGCAAUGAAAGUGAAAGUUGAGAUCCCUGUCAUGGGGAGCAUCGACGCCCGGACUUGAGCUUUUAGCGACGGAUCCGCGGUAGAGCAUGCAUGUUGGGACCCGAAAGAUGGUGAACUAUGCCUGAAUAGGGCAAAGCCAGAGGAAACUCUGGUGGAGGCUCGUAGCGAUUCUGACGUGCAAAUCGAUCGUCAAAUUUGGGUAUAGGGGCG